rnacentral:rRNA from 1 species
UGGGGAAUAUUGCACAAUGGGCGAAAGCCUGAUGCAGCGACGCCGCGUGAGUGAAGAAGUAUUUCGGUAUGUAAAGCUCUAUCAGCAGGGAAGAAAAUGACGGUACCUGACUAAGAAGCCCCGGCUAACUACGUGCCAGCAGCCGCGGUAAUACGUAGGGGGCAAGCGUUAUCCGGAUUUACUGGGUGUAAAGGGAGCGUAGACGGCGAAGCAAGUCUGAAGUGAAAACCCAGGGCUCAACCCUGGGACUGCUUUUGAAACUGUUUUGCUAGAGUGUCGGAGAGGUAAGUGGAAUUCCUAGUGUAGCGGUGAAAUGCGUAGAUAUUAGGAGGAACACCAGUGGCGAAGGCGGCUUACUGGACGAUAACUGACGUUGAGGCUCGAAAGCGUGGGGAGCAAACAGG